UACGGGAGGAGCGAGCAUUAUUCGGGAUGAUUAGGCGUAAAGGGUUUGUAGGUGGUUUUUUAAGUUGAAAAAAAAAAAAUAAAGCUCAACUUUUAUAAAUUUUUUCAAAACUGAAAAACUUGAGUAUAAAUAGAGGAUAAUGGAAUUCCUAUUGUAGUGGUAAAAUACCUUAAUAAUAGGAGGAAGGCCAAGAGCGAAGGCAAUUAUCUGGGUAUAUACUGACACUGAAAAACGAAAGCUUGGGGAGCGAACGGG
rnacentral:rRNA from 1 species